GACGAACGCUGGCGGCGUGCCUAAUACAUGCAAGUUGAGCGCUGAAGGUUGGUACUUGUACCAACUGGAUGAGCAGCGAACGGGUGAGUAACGCGUGGGGAAUCUGCCUUUGAGCGGGGGACAACAUUUGGAAACGAAUGCUAAUACCGCAUAAAAACUUUAAACACAAGUUUUAAGUUUGAAAGAUGCAAUUGCAUCACUCAAAGAUGAUCCCGCGUUGUAUUAGCUAGUUGGUGAGGUAAAGGCUCACCAAGGCGAUGAUACAUAGCCGACCUGAGAGGGUGAGCGGCCACAGUGGGGCUGAGACACGGCCCAAACUCCUACGGGAGGCAGCAGGAGGGAAUCUUCGGCAAGGGACGAAAGUCUGACCGAGCAACGCCGCGUGAGUGAAGAAGGUUUUCGGAUCGUAAAACUCGGUUGGUAGAGAAGAACGUUGGUGAGAGUGGAAAGCUCAUCAAGUGACGGUAACUACCCAGAAAGGGACGGCUAACUACGUG
rnacentral:rRNA from 1 species